GGUAGCUCAGUGGUAGAGCGCAUGCCUUGCAUGCAUGAGGCCCUGGGUUCGAUUCCCCAGCACCACAUAAACA
rnacentral:tRNA from 1 species